rnacentral:rRNA from 1 species
GUUGUGAGGUUAAGCGAACAAGCGUACACGGUGGAUGCCCUGGCAGUCAGAGGCGAUGAAGGACGUGCUAAUCUGCGAAAAGCGUCGGUAAGGUGAUAUGAACCGUUAUAACCGACGAUGUCCGAAUGGGGAAACCCGGUGCACUUCGGUGCAUCAUCGUUUGAUGAAUACAUAGUCAAACGAGGCGAACCGGGGGAACUGAAACAUCUAAGUACCCCGAGGAAAAGAAAUCAACCGAGAUUCCCCCAGUAGCGGCGAGCGAACGGGGAACAGCCCAGAGCCUGAAUCAGCUUGUGUGUUAAUGGAAGCGUCUGGAAAGUCGCACGAUACAGGGUGAAAGUCCCGUACAUGAAAGCACACAGGUUGUGAGCUCGAUGAGUAGGGCGGGACACGUGAUAUCCUGUCUGAAGAUGGGGGGACCAUCCUCCAAGGCUAAAUACUCCUGACUGACCGAUAGUGAACCAGUACCGUGAGGGAAAGGCGAAAAGAACCCCGGCGAGGGGAGUGAAACAGAACCUGAAACCGUGUACGUACAAGCAGUGGGAGCCUUCGUAAGAGGGUGACUGCGUACCUUUUGUAUAAUGGGUCAGCGACUUAUAUUCUGUAGCAAGGUUAACCGCAUAGGGGAGCCGAAGGGAAACCGAGUCUUAAUUGGGCGUUAAGUUGCAGGGUAUAGACCCGAAACCCGGUGAUCUAGCCAUGGGCAGGUUGAAGGUUGGGUAACACUAACUGGAGGACCGAACCGACUAAUGUUGAAAAAUUAGCGGAUGACCUGUGGCUGGGGGUGAAAGGCCAAUCAAACCGGGAGAUAGCUGGUUCUCCCCGAAAGCUAUUUAGGUAGCGCCUCGUGAACUCAUCUCCGGGGGUAGAGCACUGUUUCGGCUAGGGGGCCAUCCCGGCUUACCAACCCGAUGCAAACUGCGAAUACCGGAGAAUGUUAUCACGGGAGACACACGGCGGGUGCUAACGUCCGUCGUGAAGAGGGAAACAACCCAGACCGCCAGCUAAGGUCCCAAAGUCAUGGUUAAGUGGGAAACGAUGUGGGAAGGCCCAGACAGCCAGGAUGUUGGCUUAGAAGCAGCCAUCAUUUAAAGAAAGCGUAAUAGCUCACUGGUCGAGUCGGCCUGCGCGGAAGAUGUAACGGGGCUAAACCAUGCACCGAAGCUGCGGCAGCGACACUAUGUGUUGUUGGGUAGGGGAGCGUUCUGUAAGCCGUCGAAGGUGUGCUGUGAGGCAUGCUGGAGGUAUCAGAAGUGCGAAUGCUGACAUAAGUAACGAUAAAGCGGGUGAAAAGCCCGCUCGCCGGAAGACCAAGGGUUCCUGUCCAACGUUAAUCGGGGCAGGGUGAGUCGACCCCUAAGGCGAGGCCGAAAGGCGUAGUCGAUGGGAAACAGGUUAAUAUUCCUGUACUUGGUGUUACUGCGAAGGGGGGACGGAGAAGGCUAUGUUAGCCGGGCGACGGUUGUCCCGGUUUAAGCGUGUAGGCUGACUUUCCAGGCAAAUCCGGAAAGUUAAGGCUGAGGCGUGAUGACGAGGCACUACGGUGCUGAAGUAACAAAUGCCCUGCUUCCAGGAAAAGCCUCUAAGCAUCAGGUAACAUCAAAUCGUACCCCAAACCGACACAGGUGGUCAGGUAGAGAAUACCAAGGCGCUUGAGAGAACUCGGGUGAAGGAACUAGGCAAAAUGGUGCCGUAACUUCGGGAGAAGGCACGCUGACAUGUAGGUGAA